AUGACUUGAAGAGGACGAAUAAGUGCACGUUGCUCUUGAAAGCUUCUUGAUCCACGACAACAAAUUGUUUCCUUGAGUUCAAACUUUAAACAAAUUGAGGAAAGGUGUGCUUCUUAGUGGAUUUACAAAGGUCAUGGAGAAGUUAUAAAAUGGAGAAAGACGAAUUUCACUUGUGCAGUGGCAUUAAAAGUUGGUGCAGCAAAAUUUUCAUCCAUUACAGGAGAAGAGAACUACCUAGCUCCUCCAAGCUUUGGCUCAUUGGGCAGCUAUACAAAUGAAGACCAAAUAAAUGAAAAUGAAUAUGGCUUUUAAUGUCAACGAAAUUCCCUUUCACAAUCUUGGGAUGGUGAACUGUGCAUUCAUCUGUGGAGAGACAGAAACU